rnacentral:rRNA from 1 species
UACGAAGGGGGCUAGCGUUGUUCGGAUUUACUGGGCGUAAAGCGCACGUAGGCGGCUUAGCAAGUCGGAAGUGAAAUCCCACGGCUCAACCAUGGAAGUGCUUUCGAAACUGCUGAGCUUGAGUACGAAAGAGGAUCGCGGAAUUCCCGGUGUAGAGGUGAAAUUCGUAGAUAUCGGGAGGAACACCAGUGGCGAAGGCGGCGAUCUGGGUCGAUACUGACGCUGAGGUGCGAAAGCGUGGGGAGCAAACAGG